rnacentral:hammerhead_ribozyme from 1 species
AUCCAGCUGACGAGUCCCAAAUAGGACGAAACUGUCGUUCUGGUU